CAGUCGCCGCGGUAAUACGUAGGUGGCAAGCGUUAUCCGGAAUUAUUGGGCGUAAAGCGCGCGUAGGCGGUUUCUUAAGUCUGAUGUGAAAGCCCACGGCUCAACCGUGGAGGGUCAUUGGAAACUGGGAAACUUGAGUGCAGAAGAGGAAAGUGGAAUUCCAUGUGUAGCGGUGAAAUGCGCAGAGAUAUGGAGGAACACCAGUGGCGAAGGCGACUUUCUGGUCUGUAACUGACGCUGAUGUGCGAAAGCGUGGGGAUCAAACAGGAUUAGAUACCCCCGUAGUCCCUGUCUCUUAUAC
rnacentral:rRNA from 1 species